UCCGUGGCUCAGAAAGUUUUCUUUCCGUCACAGGAUGCCAGGCGCGUCAUCAAUGCAACCCCUGGCUCCUCUGCCGUAGCGCCAUAGCCAUUUUCGCGAAGGCGAGAGAGGGAGCGAGAAGAAGAACAGGCGACCCGUCGCGCCAUGGAGUUCCUAAUGCAGCCAAUCCGCAGAUCUACGAAUUUUGAGGAGGUCGGAGAGAGCAUGGUGUCGGAAGGUUCGCCGGCAGUUGGGACAAGGCGAACGGCGGUGGAGGUGGCGCUGCACGACGGAAUAGUUUUGAGCGGGGACAAGCGGCUCUGCCCGUCGUCAGGAGCGGUAAUGUUGAGUGGCCAAGGACAAAUCUGCAGCGGUACGCCGGCGGCGGCUAUGAGCGGCGAAGAAUGAAUAUGCAGUGCGGUGCAAGCAGCAGCGGUGAGAAAGGAGAGCUCGCCUCCCACAUCUGAGCUGUCCACGGGCUCCUGGUUGGAAUAAGAGGUUGCGGAUUGGUGCUGCUGGCCCCAGCAAGGCGCCUUGCGCUACCCGUAUUGUUCGCCGAAAAGCCGACGGAUAAUGUAAUCACUGCAGUGCUGGGUACUACCUUUGACUCGCUUGGAUAAGCAUACGAUUUCUACAGCUUGUAUUCCUGGGAGAAAGGAUUUGAUAUAAGAUAUGGUAAAAGCCGGCUAAAUGUGGAGAGGAUGAAGUGCAUGCAGGAAAUUGUUUGCAUGAAGGGGAGCCUUGGCGCAGUGGUAAAGCUGCUGCCUUGUGACCAUGAGGUCAUGGGUUCAAGUCCUGGAAACAGCCUCUUACAGAAAUGUAGGGAAAGG